UACGGAGGGGGCGAGCGUUGUCCGAAUUUACUGGGCGUAAAGCGCGUGUAGGCGGGUUGUCAAGUCCGCUGUGAAAGCCCGAGGCUCAACCUCGGAGGGUUGGUGGAUACUGACAGUCUUGAAGGUGCUAGGGGGAGAUGGAAUUACCGGUGUAGCGGUGAAAUGCGUAGAUAUCGGGAGGAACACCAGUGGCGAAGGCGGUUGCCUGGGGCUUUGCUGACGCUGAUGCGCGAAAGCGUGGGGAGCGAUCCGG
rnacentral:rRNA from 1 species